rnacentral:rRNA from 1 species
UGGGGAAUAUUGCACAAUGGGGGAAACCCUGACCCAGCCAUGCCGCGUGAAGGAAGAAGGUUCUAUGGAUUGUAAACUUCUUUUAUUUGGGAAGAAACCUCUCUACGUGUAGAGAGCUGACGGUACCAAACGAAUAAGGACCGGCUAACUCCGUGCCAGCAGCCGCGGUAAUACGGAGGGUCCAAACGUUAUCCGGAAUCAUUGGGUUUAAAGGGUGCGCAGGCGGUUUAUUAAGUCAGUGGUGAAAUCUCGAGGCUCAACCUCGAAACUGCCAUUGAUACUGAUAAACUUGAGUUCAGUUGGAGUAGGCGGAAUGUGUAGUGUAGCGGUGAAAUGCUUAGAUAUUACACAGAACACCGAUAGCGAAGGCAGCUUACUAAACUGAUACUGACGCUGAGGCACGAAAGCGUGGGGAGCGAACA